AUCUAGAAACCAUAUACCCAAAAGAGUUCUUCUACUCAUUUUUUCAUAAAAUCAAGUUUCAAAGCUUGCAGCCUCGUUCAGUCUGGCAAUGGCAAAGUAGCGUACCCCUAAUACAUCUGUGGUGGCCUUCAAAAGAGAGCAAAAGACGAGGAACCCUAUGAGCUUGGUAAUGGAAGAUUUGGAUUUCGCAGAAAGAAGCAUAACACUUGGAAACAACAUACGUCUAUAAUGUGAACUAGAGAUCGGGGCACAUUUUUCUAAACAGAAUCCUCCCUUUCUUGCUCUCCCAAACGCAGGGUCCCUCGUCCCACAAUCGAAAUAUGUAUGCCAAGGGCCUUUCUUCACAAAUUUACUUUUCAUAUAUCCAAGCGUGGUGUCGGUAGCAGUUCUGUAAGUAUGCCGCAUCAAGUUCCUUUUGUCGUAAUACAUACAUCAUCCACUUCUCAUCUGAUAUUGGUAUGUGAGCAUGCGCAAUCAAGUGUUUUCUUCCCCCACUCUCCCCUGGUUUUUAUGAACUUCCACAUGUAAUCGAUGAGGGAGCUUCUGGUUUUAUUAAUUAUGCAUCACAUAAUAUUAACUUGAGAAAAUAAUUAUUCUUUUAGAAAGGAUUUUAUAGAGUAGAUAUCAUGAAUACCAGUUUGAUAGUGCAUUGACGACUAAAUAUAGAUUUUUUUCCUUAAACCUACAAUCACUGAUUCACUCAAAAGAAACCUUUCUAGUUCGGCUUGUAAAGUUAAAGUAGUCUCAUUUUGUUGUCUGGAAAAAAGCUGUGUAACACUAUAACCUGUAAUUUGAUGGUAUGACAUAUGCCUUUUGCUUAGUCUUGGGCCGAUUACUUGUUCUUGUUGUCGCGAUUAAUCCUCCAUCUUUACCAUUAUUUACGAACAAUCUGAAGCUUGAAGUAUGGUUUUUAUUGCAUGGUUCUUUUCCAGGUCUGUUGACAUAUCUGCAAGAAUCACAAGGAUCAUUCUUUUAGUUAUCUUACAAUUUUUUUUGUUGCUGUGGGGGUUUUGGGGGGGGGGGGGAAAGCCCAAGUUAUAUAUAGGCUUGUAAAGACCGAUCAAUGUUACAAUUAGAACCCCUGGAAAUCAUUAUAAAUUACUAGAACUUUCUCGUCCUGCUUACGUGGGAUCUCAUUCACCACCUUUUAGUUAUUUAUCCAAGUUAUUAAAAUCUCUCCCCUUAGAUUCCUAACGUCCUUGUCAGGUCAUUACUAAGGUGGGUGGACAUGGCUCAAGCCUCUUUCGACACCCUUCUAUACCUAGUCCAAGUCAAAAUUGGAGGAAAUGCACAUGGAGGAUAACGAUAUCCAGAGCAAUCUGCAAAGAAAACUUCGUGGUCAUUUGCUUUUCUUUGGCAUCACUAUGGGGCUGCUGGCUGAGAUCAUCAAUUCAAGGCAAAAUGAAUCAUUCUUAGAUAUGAAGCUGAAAUUAGUCAAAUGCCUAUAUAUUGGCUUGGAUUGUUGGGCCACUUACAUGCGGCUUUUGUUCCAAGGAAGGUGAAGUGGAAACAUCUGACAUUCAGUCCCCUAUCCCCCAUCUAAAAAUAAACUAUAGAUCUUAAGCAUAUACUUUGCUGUUGAAAGAAAAUAAUAUUUUUUUUUUUUUUCGCAAUGGAAAUUAGAAUUCACCUUUUAUGACGAUGUUUGCUCAGGACAUAUCAUGCAUCAAAGAUCUUAUAUUAUCACAAUAUGAAGCUCUCAACAUCGAAGACCUUGCUUAUGAUCAGUUGAAAGUAGAUGAGAAUUCUUUAUAUUCAUGUGUUGGGAUUCCUGGGGCUCAGGCUGGUAACGAAAUUACCAGUGAGGAUGAAUCGCAUGAAGGCUUUCCUGGAGUUAUUCCCAUGGGACAUGUUUUAUCUACAAUGUCCUGGCCUACCGCAUGAGCUUCCUAGAUCACUGUCUUGUGGGGAAUAUAUAUUGAACAUGGAAGGUCGUAUGACUUUUAGUUGUGUGUAAAAUGCAUUUCUAUAUCUUCAAUAACUAGCUUUAAGCUCCCAAAUCCUAUAGUUCUCUUUAUAUAUAUCAUAAUCAUAACCCCAUGAAGCAGUACGUACACUUAUGUUUAUGAGGAAGUGCUUGCCCAUUUUGUAGGCCAUGAUCGAUCGGGGGGUAUCGUCCAUUUAUGCUGAUCACUAAAACCUGACAUCCCAAUGGUCUUCCUUCCUUAAUGGCAUCUUGUGACCUGAAGCAAAAGACAAGAUGAUGAUUAUGAUGAGCACUGGAGAUUCCUUACAGAGUAUGAGAUGCUGUGAAUAAGGUCUCAGUAACAAAAUAAUGUAUUCAUAGACAGCUGUACGUGCUUAGUCUUUUUGCAGCAUCUUGACGUGAUGAAGGAACAGAUCGACAAACCUUUGCAAGCUCAAUUACAGCAUUAAAUACCCUUUUGAGCUGGGUAAUUAGAGGCAAACACAUUUUUGGCAUUUUUCAGAUUUACUUCCCAGAAAAAAAACAUUCAGAUGGGCAUGGAGGGAACCUAUGAUAACCUAAUUAAUUCAUUGCCUUCGGACAUCGGGCAUUCAAACAGUCCAAAGUGAUAACCUAAGUCAUCAAGUUCUAUUCUAGUACUAUAAAUUUAUUAUUAUCAGUUCAGAGCUAUUUGAUGUUGAUCCAAUAUUAGUGAUAUUAUGUAGUUAUCAGAAAAGGAAUCAGCGUAGGCUUUUUGUGUUAUUGUAAUUGAUUGGUGUUGUCAAUUUUUUGGCUAGAUCAAUGGCGGAGAA